rnacentral:rRNA from 1 species
GACGAACGCUGGCGGCGUGCUUAACACAUGCAAGUCGAGCGGUAAGGCUCCUUCGGGAGUACACGAGCGGCGAACGGGUGAGUAACACGUGAGUAACCUGCCCCAAUCAUCGGGAUAACCAUUGGAAACGAUGGCUAAUACCGAAUACGACCACCGAAGGCAUCUUCUGGUGGUGGAAAGCUCCGGCGGAUUGGGAUGGACUCGCGGCCUAUCAGCUUGUUGGUGAGGUAAUGGCUCACCAAGGCAACGACGGGUAGCCGGCCUGAGAGGGUGACCGGCCACACUGGGACUGAGACACGGCCCAGACUCCUACGGGAGGCAGCAGUGGGGAAUAUUGGACAAUGGGCGCAAGCCUGAUCCAGCAACGCCGCGUGAGGGAUGACGGGCCUUCGGGUUGGUAACCGUACUUUUCACGUAGGGACGAAGCGAAAGUAGACGGUACCGUACACGAAGAAGGACCGGCCGAACUACGUAGCCAGCAGCCGCGGUAAAAGGUCAACGUCG